CUACAACAACAACCAACAAUGGCUUCAUCGAAAUCGACAUACAACAAUGGCAGAUGUUAUUGCUGAGCAUCUUCAGAUACCGUAAGAGAUCAAGAUUGGAUCCAAAAAAGGUUGGAUUCACUAUAUGCCGAAGCCAAAGAAGAUGCACCUUUACCAACAAUCGAUGAGCAAAAGAAGGUUUUGUUGAUAUCAUGAAAAAAAAAAAACUAAUUAGAAAUCAGUAGUCGUGGAUAUUUCCAUUUCAAGUGUGAGUAGUAGGUAAUAUGUUAUAGUUUAUGUUAAUAUUUUUGUAGUUGUAGGUAGAUUAAAUAAAAAAGGAAAAAUAAAGUAGUUUGAUAAUGAAUUGCUGAUCUGAAGAGUUAUCGGAUGGAGAGAUCGAAGAGAUGAAUAAGAUUUGUGAAAAGUAAUAUAGUCAUUCGAUGAUCCUAACUUGGACAUCCAGAACAGCGAAUUCGAAGAGGAUGACAACGACGACGAGGAAGAAAAAAAGAGGAGUAUAACUGGGAAAGAGUAGUCAGUUAUGGAUAUAGAGUAAAGAAAAAUGUUCGGGUAUUUUUAUGUUGAAAAUAGUAGAAAAAUUUAUAGGAUUGUAAUUUUCA